AGAUGUCUUGCCAAAAGGCCCCAGUUGGCCUCCUAAUCUUCCUGACUCUGUCUCCUGAUUGCUAUGCUUACAGGAUCUACUUCCAUGAGUGGGCCACAAAAGUAGCUGCUGAACAUCGAUCUCCGGCAUGGUUUCUUACAAGGCUGCUCUGAUGUUUCCAGGAUUUGCUUCAUCCUUUGAGUGUUUCUGAGCACACAACACUUUCAUACUGCUCUCCUGUUACAUUUGGGUCUCCACUCAUUGUCGAACCUUUCCAGAGAAGGAAGGACUUGAUUUUUAUUUAUUUAUGAUUUACUUCUUAGUUCCAAAAUCUAAUCUCACCUACAGUAAGAAUCUUUAGGGUAAAUAAAAAGAAAGAAGUGAAAAGCUAACAUUAUACCAGGGCCAGAUAACACAAUGGGAAGGAGAACAACUUGAGUUUAAGAACCACGGGAAGAAGUAUCACAUAAGAAAUAUAUUCUUGAUGAUUUCUAUUAUGAUCUUAUUUUAAAGGUAGUGUGGAGAAAACAUGAAAGCUAUUGGAGUUUUGUAAUUUGUUUUCAUCGGUCCAGAUGGCCUGUGUAUUGUUUUCAAUUGUACAGGUUCCUUUCCUAAUGCUGAAUUCUGCUGCUGGUACUCUGAUUUCCUAAGUUUAGAUGUCUCUUGACUCUCUCACAAGCUACAGAAAGAGAAUGGUCGUAAUGUCAGUCUCUGACAUUCUGUCUUAGACUGGGCUCCCUGAAAAUGAUUCCUAGAGAGAACUCUGUGCAAGGGUGUGUAUUCUCGGGAGGAUCAUACACUGUGAGGAUGGCAGAUGGAACUUCCCAGAGAAAACUCACUUGCAAGUCACCAGCACAGCCUUCCUGUUUUCUGGGAUAAGGAGCCAGUCCCCUGUUUCUGGAGUGGCUGGUCCACCACAGAAGUUGCUAGAUGUGACUUAAACUUCCCAUUUAGAUACUUUAUUUACUUACACAUAUUUGGACAUUAUAGUAGUUCCUGACUGGCUUCAUUUUCCUAUUGACGGAACAAGAAGAAUACAUGCUUGGGUCUUCACAGUCAUGUGUAGUCUGGCCUUACACGAAGAAGGUCGUUUGUGACUAUGGACAAACUAUUCCUCCUGAGAAGCAAACUCUGGCCUUUACCAUCAUUUCUUCAUUUGUAUGAGGGAAAAACCUCACUAAUGAUUCUGUAAUCACAAAUGUGAUUAGCUUCAAACUCUUCAAACUGUCUCUGUUGAUCACCCAUGGAAGAUAUACCCAGUUCAUGAUGCUGCCUAUGGUUCGUCUCUUCGGCUUUUGAAAUGUAGAUUGACUUGUUUAGAUAUGAUUUGUGCAUCAUCUCUUUGGAUGGAAGGCAAUUAUCUCAAAGUGCAGACAAAGAACAUGAGGACCAUGAUGGUGAUGAAGUGGGGAUAUGGCAAAUUAACAAUCAGUUCCACUUUUUCUGUAUGUUUAAAGCACAGCGGUGGUUGGGACUUUUGAAAGAAAUGGGACUAAACAUUUUACCAUAGACUAAAAUGGUUGAAGGCAAAUCUCCCUGCUCAAAAUUUUGUGCAGUCCAACUCUACCACUCCUUCCCAUACACCUUGGUGCUUUACCCCACCUCCCUUGAGCAAUCAACAUCCCUAGCUCUAUCUGUGUUUCCCUGUUUAAGAACGUACUGGAAACACACAGUACCCCCAAAUUACAAAGGCUCACAUACAUACAGGGAAGCAAAUCAACUGCAAAAGAAAAGAAUGCGCUAGGAGUUUGAACCCAAGAAAAAACUGGACACCCUACUGACAAAAAAUAAAAUAACUGGGAGGUUCUGUUUGCACAGUUUUAUCAGAGCUAACUGACAAAGAUCAAGCUAUUCUAAAUAAGAGUAUUACUAACUUUCUAAAUGAAAAAUGGCUAAUUUCAAGAAGUUGUUAUACAUAUUCAUUCUAUUUGCCUGAAUCUGCUUCCUGACCUAAUCUUUCUCUUUAGCUUUUGUAAAAUAUUAUCUGCUUGGCUGUUUAUGUUUUCCAGUUAGCCUUAAAAAGCAAGAGAUGCAUUGGAAAAUAUAUAAACUAUUUGACAACUUUCCUUAGCUUUAUGUCUCUUUUGUAGAAAGAUACCUGGCAAAGUAGACACAGUAUACAUGUGGAGGCCUCCAUUAUCUGUUUUGGGUGAUUUUUCAUUAUUUUUGUUUGUUUGUUUGUUUGCUUGCCUUGACUCAUAAUUCUGUACAUAUCUUCUUACUGCCUGAUUGGUCAAGGCAUUCUAAUUGGCUGCCUUUAUAUCAUGAAGGAAAUGAUUAGGUGAGGUUAACUUUUUUUUUUACUAUUACUACUGUUCAAUGAGUGAAAUGAAA
rnacentral:sRNA from 1 species